CAGUACUAAAAGUAUUUACAGAAACGCAACGAGGCGGGACCUCUCUGAACGCCACUAUCACGGAAGGCAGCCGGCAGCUCCACUCAGACAGGAAUGGACGUUUCGGUGAGCCUCGGGCAAAGCGGAUCACCGGCACGCCAUGGUAUCAAUAACCAGUGGGGAUCAGAAAUAUCUGUUUCUGUUUGGCACUCUGAAAGGGCACCUAGGGUGCUCUCAGAAUGUAUCAUCUGAAUUUUGUUCAGGGGAAACUAAGCUGGAAGGCACCCUAAAAUGUGAAGUGGAUGGUAGAUCAUCAGCACUACCAAUUUCUACAGAUCUGAUCCUGUUGUACCUACACUACCUGCAAAUCUACUGAUAGUCACAGUUUACUGCAAAAGAACUUAACUGUCAUUCAUGGAAAAAUAAUUCUUGCUGCUGGAAUGGAGCAUAGCAGACUCCAUGGCCUGCGGUACGUAGGGACACUACUUUUCUGAACUCAAUUAUCUCUUCCUGCCUUAAGUUAUAAGAACUCCAGAGUGGUCUGCAGGAGCAUGGAACACGGAGCAGCUUUAAUUCCUGAUUUUCAUUUAUACAUGUUGUGUUGCUUACUUAGAUUUUAUUAUUUACUUUACUCUGUUCAAAUUAUGUUUUUCCAAGGAAAUUAUAUUAUUUGGAUAUCCACAAUGCCACGUGCACUCUCUUUGGGAACUGAGUAGAGGAAGUGUGUGUACUCUGCAUGCUGGUGCUUGUGUGAAAGAAGAAGAAAAAAAACACCAAUAACAACAAAAAACAAACCAACAGAAUUUCACACACUUCCAGCUUCAUGGAACAUAGGGUGGAUGGUAAUCAGUGUGGUCUAUUUACUGAAAAGUUCAUGUGCCCAAGAGCUACAAGUGCUUCUCGUAUGCAGACAAGCCAGAGAGGAUCUUACAUUUGGAAAGGCUCGCAUGCAGGAUAUGGCAAUGGUUGCCCUGCAAUCUCACUGCUCCUUUGUGAAGAGGACUGGGCUGAGCGUCCAGGCUAUUUUGAAGGUGUUGGCCUCAACAACUUCCACUGGCUCACUUCCUCCCAAAGCCAGGGGUUUGGAUUACGCAGCCAUGCCAGCAGACCAGCCAUGUGAUACAUCUUUGGCAAGGAAACUUUAUUUGAAUUGUGUGCAAGCCGUGUGCAACACAAGGUUAGCCUCUGCUGAAAUAUAAAGCCUAAAAUUAUUUUUGCAGUCCUCUGAGAUGAACUAUAAAUAGUUCUACAGUAUAUACAAUUAUUUCCUAAAUGUGAUUGAGACUAUUCUAUAAAGAUCAUAAAGAACUGUUUUAAAAUGGUAACAGAAAAUCUUGUUUCAUUUGAUAUGAAAUCUCAAUUUCAUUAUAAAUGAAAUAUUAAGGACUUUCUCAUAGAUUCGCCUCAUUUGGAAAGAUGAGCUUCUUACCAAAAUUUAUCAACAUAGCAAGCUCUCACAUAUGUUUGGAAUUUCUUUUUCAGGAAAAAAGAAAACAUGUUGUAUAAUGUUGAAUAUCAGUGGAAUAUAGUACUUAAGUAUUUCAUUAAUGAACCAUUCUUUUCUCCUAAGCACUUUAAUAAAGGCUGUGUCAAAUA